rnacentral:rRNA from 1 species
GUGAAGGAUGAAGUAUUUCGGUAUGUAAACUUCUAUCAGCAGGGAAGAAAAUGACGGUACCUGACUAAGAAGCCCCGGCUAACUACGUGCCAGCAGCCGCGGUAAUACGUAGGGGGCAAGCGUUAUCCGGAUUUACUGGGUGUAAAGGGAGCGUAGACGGCACGGCAAGCCAGAUGUGAAAGCCCGGGGCUCAACCCCGGGACUGCAUUUGGAACUGCUGAGCUAGAGUGUCGGAGAGGCAAGUGGAAUUCCUAGUGUAGCGGUGAAAUGCGUAGAUAUUAGGAGGAACACCAGUGGCGAAGGCGGCUUGCUGGACGAUGACU